rnacentral:rRNA from 1 species
UACGUAGGGUGCGAGCGUUAAUCGGAAUUACUGGGCGUAAAGCGUGCGCAGGCGGUUCGUUAAGUUCGUUGUGAAAGCCCCGGGCUCAACCUGGGAACUGCAAUGGAAACUGGCGGGCUUGAGUGUGGCAGAGGGGGGUGGAAUUCCUGGUGUAGCGGUGAAAUGCGCAGAUAUCAGGAGGAACACCAAUGGCGAAGGCAGCUCGCUGGGACGUGACUGACGCUGAGACGCGAAAGCGUGGGGAGCAAACAGG